rnacentral:misc_RNA from 1 species
GAUGAAGAACGUAGCGAAAUGCGAUAAGUAAUGUGAAUUGCAGAAUUCAGUGAACCAUCGAAUCUUUGAACGCACAUUGCGCCCGCCAGUAUUCUGGCGGGCAUGCCUGUCCGAGCGUCAUCUCAACCCUCGAGCCCCCCCGGGGGCUCGGCGUUGGGGACCGGCCCCGCCCCAGGGCGCGCCGCCCCCCAAAUCCAGUGGCGGUCCCGCCGCAGCCUCCCCUGCGCAGUAGCUUGCACACUCGCAUCGGAGAGCGGCGCGGCCACGCCGUAAAACCCCCCGACCACGGAGCCCCGGCUCCUGAACGUUGACCUCGGAUCAGGUAGGAAUACCCGCUGAACUUAAGCAUAUCAAUAAGCGGAGGA